CUCUCUCUCUCUCUCUCUCUUUCUCUCUCUUUAAAAAAUAAAAAAUAAAAAGAAAGAAAAAUCCCGUGCUGCGAUUUUAAAUCGAAACCCUAGUAGUUUUGAGAUCCGAAACCUCAGCGAUCGCUUGGUUCGGCAAAGGACGGGGAGAGAGAGGCCGCCAAUUUGAGUGAGAGAUCGAGGGAGAUGCCUUCUGCGAUGGAGAGUGGGAGACGCGGAGAUCGCGGGAGGAGUACUUUCUGGAAAUCCGUCGGUUUGAAAGCAAUGGAGUGAGUCGGCGCCGAGAACAGACGAAGAGGCUGAGAUUCAUUGAGUCGAAAGCAAUGGACACUGCUUGACCUCUUCUUCAUCGGUUGGAUUCUAUUCGUGAUGGUGCGAGAAAAGAUCGAGUUGUAUGACCGUCCGAUUCAUGAUGUACGGGUUCAUAGAGGGCGGGCGAACCGGGACGGGUAGCCGGUUCCCGGUUUGAUAGACCGAUCCGGCCGGUUUUCCCUGCUUGAUCGGACCGCUCGAAUGGGGGUUUACUUGAGCUUGGUUAGUCGAAACGAAAUUUUCAAUGUCUUCAAGUGACUAAGGAACAAGGAGUAAAGUUUACAAUGCUUCUGAGAUUUUUUCAAGAAUUGUUGAAAUCUGAAAGGCGUGGAACUCGCUUUGUGGAGGGUAGAAACAAUAUUUUAGGAGUUGCUAAGACACAUAGAGCAGCUGGGAUGUUCAAUAGUUUCGGACUUUUUACUGAUUUGCUCAAAUACAUGAAAUCUGCCUGUAAAUUACCAGCAGUCCGAGAGAGACUGCACGAUCUUUGUUGAUCUCGCAAGGGGAGACAGACGACAUGGGUGGUGGGAGGUCGAAGUUCUGGGGAAAGAAAAUUCAUCAAUAUCUUGAAAGUUUUUACAAAUCAAACCAAUGAUUAUUUGUUAUGAUGUCUAAAGAUGGUAUGAUUUUCUAGUUGUAAGUGCACUUUUUAGAAAUUUUGCAUUCCAGACUUGUUAAUUCUGCAGCUUGCAUUUCAGGAAUUUUGCAUGAGAGCAGCCGGAAAUGGCCCCUGGGCCAAUGAGCAGAUAGGCUACAGAGGACAAUGUUUGACUUGAUUGGGGCUUUUUGGGCCUGUAAAUGUCCAAAAUUAGAGGAUGAGAAAGUCCAGUUCUUUAUCGAUACAAUCUACAACCCAAAAGCGUCAACUUCAGACAUCUUUGCACCCCGC